UACGAAGGGGGCUAGCGUUGCUCGGAAUUACUGGGCGUAAAGGGCGCGUAGGCGGAUCGUUAAGUCAGAGGUGAAAUCCCGGAGCUCAACUUCGGAACUGCCUUUGAUACUGGCGAUCUUGAGUGUGAGAGAGGUAUGUGGAACUCCGAGUGUAGAGGUGAAAUUCGUAGAUAUUCGGAAGAACACCAGUGGCGAAGGCGACAUACUGGCUCAUUACUGACGCUGAGGCGCGAAAGCGUGGGGAGCAAAC
rnacentral:rRNA from 1 species